GUUGCUCCCCUCCGCAUUGGUGAAGUCUUUCAAUGAAAAAGAGUGAGAGAUGUCACAUGUUUUGGGAAGCAUAUAUGAAAUUUGUCAGUUUUUAACAGCACGGUGUUUUCUUUGCAAUAUCAUCGUGUUACCUGUCUGCUGCAACAUGU
rnacentral:snoRNA from 1 species